AUAUUUACACACACACACACACACACACACACACGGAGUGGCUCUUCGCCUUCGUCCAGGGGGCUCUAUCCUUGAGCAAAACUCUCUGGCCAAAGUGACCCACACUGGCCGUGGGGAGGGCAGCAAAACUGCAAGGGGGCAGGAAGUAAGUGUGUGUGUGUGUGUGUGUGUGUGUGUGUGAUUGU
rnacentral:miRNA from 1 species